rnacentral:misc_RNA from 1 species
UGUCGAUUGCGGUAUUGCGAGCCACAAAAAGCAAAAGUCAAAGCAAUCCAGUCCUUCCAAGCGCGUGUUCAGAAGGAUUGAGAAGGGAUGGUGACGCAGGUGCAGCCGCUAGCGCGGGGCUCGUCGCUGUACCACAUGCUGGAGGACAGCCAGGCGGCCAUCUUCUGCUGUUGCUGUGAGGUGCCCUCGCCCGGCUGUGCUCGGCGCACUACCUCUUCCUCUCCUCCACCAACACCCCCCGACGACCACAACAGCCCCGCCUCACCUGCGUCACUGCCAUCUUCCUCCUCUUCUUCGUCGCUAGACAGUGCUGCCCUUCCACCAUCUGACACAUCACCAGAAGAAAGCGGAGGCGGUGGUCACCAAUCACGAUCGACCAAAAGGUCUCUGUCCGACAUGGGUGCAGCUCAGCAGCAGCAGCACAAAGAGGGCGCAGCCGACGCGGAACGCGACAGGCUGUGCUCGCCUUUCCGGCGCAGCUUGUUUCCAGGUGUCCCGCCAACACUUCAGUUCUACUCGGACGGAUACCAAGUGAUCCCCUUGCCAGCGUGCAUCCGCAAGCAGCUGCGGUGGAAAGUGACGAGCAUCACACCUUUACUCAUUCGUCAGACAGUGGUCCGGUCUGGUUUUCGGCUCACCCGCGAUGGACCUUACUGGAAUGGGACGUGGGGCAAACACAUCAAGUGCUUCACCUUUGCAGAGAUCAAGGGCUUUCAGAAGGUGAACCACUUUCCAGGCAGCUUUCACCUGGGGCGCAAGGACAAGCUGUGGCAGAACGUGGUGCGGCUGGGACGCAUCCGUGGUGAUAGGGGACGCCCAUCGCUGCCCGACACAUUCCUCCUGCCCCAGGAGCUGCCUCUGCUGCGGGACGCCUGGAUUGCCGAGACUCCGGGGGACCACUGCUGGAUCAUCAAGCCCCCUGCAUCGGCAAGAGGUGCGGGUGUGCACGUGGUCCACCGCUGGGACCAGAUACCCAAGAAGCAGCCACUGGUGGUCCAGAGGUACGUGCGGACUCCAUACCUCAUAAACGGGACCAAGUUUGACCUGCGCCUGUAUGCGCUAGUGACCAGCUUUGACCCCCUCAAGAUCUACUUGUUCCCGGAUGGCCUGGUUCGCUUUGCUUCCAACAAAUACUCGCAAGAGAGUGAGGACCUUAGUGACCGGUACAUGCACCUGACCAACUACAGCAUCAACAAGAAGAGUGCCACCUACACAGCUGGAGGCAGUGGGGACUGCCAAGGGCACAAGUGGUCCAUAAAAGCCCUGCAGGGCUACCUAGAAGCGCUGGGCGUGGACUUUGCCAGCCUCUGGGACCAGAUGGUCGGCAUCGUUGUCAAGGCGCUAGCCUGUGCGGAGGGCCCUAUGAACCGGCUAAUCCAGAGGCACACAUCAAGUCGCUACACAUGCUAUGAGCUCUUCGGCUUUGACAUCUUGCUGGACGACCAGCUAAAGCCCUGGCUCCUCGAGGUCAACAUCUCGCCCAGCUUACGAUCUGCAACACCAGUCGACUACGCCGUCAAGAGUGAGGUGGUGAAGGACAUGCUGAACAUAGUGGGAUUCCAACUGCCUCAGCAGCUCAAGGACGACCUUGACGAGAGGCUACUACAGUGCUACGGUCUGGAAGAGCAAGAUGAUCUGUCCCUGAACCCUCUCCUUCACACGUACAGUCUCUCGCCGGCCGAACUCCUCAAGCACCGGCACUACGAGACAAGCCUGAUUGAUGUGGAGGAAGAGACCUCUGGCCUGCUAGACAGCCUGACGCCCGACGACGUCCGGGUGUUGGUGCAGAGCGAAGACGAGCUCUCGCGCUGUGGCUCCUUCAAGCGGGUGUUUCCAGGUGGCCGCCACGGAGACGUCAGCCUGCUCGCCCACCGCCGCUACUACAACCUCCUGCUGGCAGCCUGGGAGAGGCAAUACGGGGACCAGAGGCACAAAGGUGUGGAGUGGCUGCAACGACUCUGUGCCAAGGGCUUCCACCUAACGUCACCAGACACGGAACGGGUGCCCACUGCCGAAAGCCAGCCUUCUCCCAUUUCCGAAAAAAGGAAGUGGCACUGGCGUAAUUUUACACUAUGUACUUCCUCUCACGUGGGAAUGUAAAGUCUACUUUGGUGUGUGGCGAGAGUCCACGAGAUGCAAAAUCUGGAUGCGGCAGCCACCGACGCAAGGUGACCCGCAACGUGAGCAUCCUGGCUCUGCAGAAGGAGCGCCAGCAUCGCGGCUGACCGCGUCCAGCUGCCGUUCGAGCUGCUGAGCCACAGGCUCGCUCCGAACGUCACAUGUUGUACAGCCCCGUUCGUUUUGCGCAGGGGAAAAGAAAGAACCUCCGCGUUGUGUUUUAACCACUCCCACGGGAGUCCUCUUGUUCUGCUGUAUUUAUGCGUUCUGCCGGCCCGGCCCUUCAGAAUAAAACACAGUAUUUCGUUCCUGGA